rnacentral:rRNA from 1 species
UAAUUGAAGAGUUUGAUCAUGGCUCAGAUUGAACGCUGGCGGCAGGCCUAACACAUGCAAGUCGAGCGGCAGCACAGAGGAACUUGUUCCUUGGGUGGCGAGCGGCGGACGGGUGAGUAAUGCCUGGGAAAUUGCCCGGUAGAGGGGGAUAACCAUUGGAAACGAUGGCUAAUACCGCAU